rnacentral:rRNA from 1 species
UCUUGGGCAAUGGGCGCAAGCCUGACCCAGCCAUGCCGCGUGUGUGAAGAAGGCCUUCGGGUUGUAAAGCACUUUCAGUGGUGAAGAAAAGCCUGGAGCUAAUACCUCCGGGUCUUGACGUUAGCCACAGAAGAAGCACCGGCUAACUCCGUUCCAGCAGCCGCGGUAAUACGGAGGGUGCGAACGUUAAUCGGAAUUACUGGGCGUAAAGCGCGCGUAGGCGGUUCGAUAAGUGGGAUGUGAAAGCCCCGGGCUCAACCUGGGAAUUGCCUUCCAAACUGUCGGGCUAGAGUGUGGUAGAGGGAGGUGGAAUUUCCUGUGUAGCGGUGAAAUGCGUAGAUAUAGGAAGGAACACCAGUGGCGAAGGCGGCCUCCUGGACCAACACUGACGCUGAGGUGCGAAAGCGUGGGGAGCAAACAG